rnacentral:lncRNA from 1 species
AUUCGGUCCUCCUUUUGUUAACGCUCUGGCAUCAUGUCUACGCCAGCUCCCGCGCAAUCCGGCGCCAUCGCGCUUUGGGCGAGCAUGGCCAUGGGGAGUAGAGAGGUGGAAACCGAGCUGACGCCUGCCUGACCCUGGCGAUGGUGGCGCGCGCCGGGAAGGACUGAUUGGAGAAUGGCGCCAAAUGGGUCACGGAUGGCGAGGGGGCACAGGAGCUCUCGAUGUGACCUGGCGCUGUGGAUGUGAUGCACAGCAGCUUGAGUGGGACUGCUCCGCUGUCCUCAUGAGAGAACGCUUUUUCUGAAGAUGGGAGGUGGCUAAUGAAAGAAGGAAUUGUGUUCUCGGUGAUGCCUGGAAGAGAUGCGUGACGUUGGAAGAUGAUUACGAAAUACAGGAAAGGAAUGAAAUCAAAGGAUGUUUUUUGUAAGAGUAACACUUACAGAAAUAUUCAUUAAUUUGAAGAUUUAUAUAAGGCCUGGUGACCUCCGUUAAUUCCUGGGACCCACAGUGUGGAAGAAGAGACCUGACUCCUGAAAGUUGUCUUCUGACCACAUAUACACAAUAUGUAAAUAAAUGUAAUUAAAAAAUCAAAAUAGUAAAACUG